AUUGAACGCUGGCGGCAGGCUUAACACAUGCAAGUCGAGCGAGCGGCGGACGGGUGAGUAAUGUCUGGGACACUGCCUGAUGGGGGGGGAUCACUACUGGACACGGUAGCUAAUACCGCAUACCAUCAGAUGUGCCCAUAUGGGAUUAGCUAGUUGGUGGGGUAAUGGCUCACCUAGGCGACGCUCCCUAGCUGGUCUGAGAGGAUGACCAGCCACACUGGAACUGAGACACGGUCCAGACUCCUACGGGAGGCAGCAGUGGGGAAUAUUGCACAAUGGGCGCAAGCCUGAUGCAGCCAUGCCGCGUGUAUGAAGAAGGCCUUCGGGUUGUAAAGCACUUUCAGUGAGGAGGCGUUACUCGCAGAAGAAGCACCGGCUAACUCCGUGCCAGCAGCCGCGGUAAUAC
rnacentral:rRNA from 1 species